rnacentral:rRNA from 1 species
CCUACGGGUGGCAGCAGUGGGGAAUAUUGGACAAUGGGGGCAACCCUGAUGCAGCGACGCCGCGUGAGUGAAGACGGCUUUCGGUAUGUAAAGCUCUAUUAGCAGGGAAGAAAAUGACGGUACGUGAUUAAGAAGCCCCGGCUAACUACGUGCCAGAAGCCGCGGUAAUACGUAGGGGGCAAGGGUUAUCCGGAUUUACUGGGUGUAAAGGGAGCGUAGGCGGCAGCACAAGUCUGUAGUGAAAUGCCGGGGCUUAACCCUGGAACUGCUUUGGAAACUGUGCAGCUGGAGUGCAGGAGAGGGAAGUGGAAUUCCUAGUGUAGCGGUGAAAUGCGUAGAUAUUAGGAAGAACACCAGUGGCGAAGGUGGCCUACUGGACUGUAACUGACGCUGAGGCUCGAAAGCGUGGGGAGCAAACAGGAUUAGAUACCCGAGUAGUC